rnacentral:ncRNA from 1 species
AGCCUUUUUGUCAUCUAUUGCCAAUCUUACACAUGCAAGUAUCCGCAUACCCGUGAAAACGCCCUCAACUCUCUACUAAGGAAGAGGAGCCGGUAUCAGGCACAACAUAUUUAGCCCACUACACCUAGCCACGCCACGCCCACAAGGGUAUUCAGCAGUGAUAAACAUUGUUAAUAAGCGCCAGCUUGAAUCAGUUACGGCAAAGAGGGCCGGCAAAUCCGGUGCCAGCCGCCGCGGCUACACCGUUAGGCCCAAGUUGACACACAUCGGCGUUAAGCGUGAUUAGAGUGACUUUACAGAUUAGAGUUAAACCCAAACUUAGUUGUGAUACACUUGUCCCCAGGAAACCCAAAAACGAAAGUUACUCUAACCAACCCACUUGACUACACGACAGCUAGGAUACAAACUGGGAUUAGGUACCCCACUAUGCCUAGCCGUAAAACAUACACUCACCCCAUAAAUCGCCAGGGAAUUACGAGCCCAAGCUUAAAACCCAAAGGACUUGACGGUGUCCCACCCACCUAGAGGAGCCUGUUCUGUAAUCGAUUAUCCCCGAUAAACCUCACCAUUUCUAGUAAACUCAGCCUGUAUACCUCCGUCGCAAGCUUACCAUGUGAACGUCUACUAGUGAGCUCAAAGAUUCCUCAUCCACACGUCAGGUCAAGGUGCAGCUAACGAACUGGGAAGAAAUGGGCUACAAUUUCUAUAAUAGAACAAACGAAAGGCUACAUGAAACACAGCCACUGAAGGCGGAUUUAGCAGUAAAAAGAAAAUAGAGAGUUCUUUUUAACAAGGCGCUGGGACGCGUACACACCGCCCGUCACCCUCUUCGAAUGC